GAAAUGCGAUAAGUAGUGUGAAUUGCAGAAUUCAGUGAAUCAUCGAAUCUUUGAACGCACAUUGCGCCCUUUGGUAUUCCUUAGGGCAUGCCUGUUCGAGCGUCAUUUAAACCUUCAAGCUCAGCUUGGUGAUGGGUGACUGUCCCCCCCUCGCGGGGGGACUCGCCUCAAAAACAUUGGCGGCCGGUACAUUGGCUUCGAGCGCAGCAGAAACGCGGUCUCGAGCCCGGUGGAUCGGCUCCCACAAGCCUAUUCUUUUAUUUUGACCUCGGAUCAGGUAGGGAUACCCGCUGAACUUAAGC
rnacentral:misc_RNA from 1 species